rnacentral:rRNA from 1 species
AUUGAACGCUGGCGGCAUGCCUUACACAUGCAAGUCGAACGGUAACAGGUUAAGCUGACGAGUGGCGAACGGGUGAGUAAUGUAUCGGAACGUGCCCAGUCGUGGGGGAUAACUGCUCGAAAGAGCAGCUAAUACCGCAUACGACCUGAGGGUGAAAGCGGGGGAUCGCAAGACCUCGCGCGAUUGGAGCGGCCGAUAUCAGAUUAGGUAGUUGGUGGGGUAAAGGCCUACCAAGCCUACGAUCUGUAGCUGGUCUGAGAGGACGACCAGCCACACUGGGACUGAGACAUGGCCCAGACUCCUACGGGAGGCAGCAGUGGGGAAUUUUGGACAAUGGACGCAAGUCUGAUCCAGCCAUGCCGCGUGCGGGAAGAAGGCCUUCGGGUUGUAAACCGCUUUUGUCAGGGAAGAAAAGGUUCUGGUUAAUACCUGGGACUCAUGACGGUACCUGAAGAAUAAGCACCGGCUAACUACGUGCCAGCAGCCGCGGUAACAC